rnacentral:rRNA from 1 species
GACAGAGGGUGCAAACGUUGUUCGGAAUUACUGGGCGUAAAGCGAGUGUAGGCGGUCUUCUAAGUCGGAUGUGAAAGCCCCGGGCUCAACCCGGGAAGUGCACUCGAUACUGGGAGGCUAGAGUAUCGGAGAGGUUGGUGGAAUUCUCGGUGUAGAGGUGAAAUUCGUAGAUAUCGAGAGGAACACCAGUGGCGAAGGCGGCUCACUGGACUGGUACUGACGCUGAGGCGCGAAAGCGUGGGGAGCAAACAGG